CUCAGAUUGAACGCUGGCGGCAUGCUUUACACAUGCAAGUCGAACGGUAACAGGUUAAGCUGACGAGUGGCGAACGGGUGAGUAAUGCAUCGGAACGUGCCCGAUCGUGGGGGAUAACGCAGCGAAAGCUGUGCUAAUACCGCAUACGAUCUACGGAUGAAAGCGGGGGAUCGCAAGACCUCGCGCGAUUGGAGCGGCCGAUAUCAGAUUAGCUAGUUGGUGGGGUAAAGGCUCACCAAGGCGACGAUCUGUAGCUGGUCUGAGAGGAUGAUCCGCCACACUGGGACUGAGACACGGCCCAGACUCCUACGGGAGGCAGCAGUGGGGAAUAUUGCACAAUGGGCGCAAGCCUGAUGCAGCAACGCCGCGUGAGGGAUGAAGGCCUUCGGGUUGUAAACCUCUUUUAGCAGGGAAGAAGCGAAAGUGACGGUACCUGCAGAAAAAGCACCGGCUAACUACGUG
rnacentral:rRNA from 1 species